ACACGAUCGAACAUACAAGAUGGCGGCCCAUUAAAGAGUUCAUAUAUACGUGUAGUUGUUUUGUGCAGUGAAUCUGUAGUUUUUUUCUUAACAAUAAAUUAACCAAGUAUAAUCAUGGGUACGUCAGAUCUAGAAUGUUUAGAAUCUAAGAGAGACACUGUCGGUGUAGAUUCUGAAUCCGACAUGUUGAACGACCAAAGAAAGAAGAAGAAAAGAAAGCAUAAGCAUCACAAACACAAGAAAGAUAAAUUAAUUGAAAGAGAAGAUGGAAAGAUAGAACGACAAGAACGAAAAAGGCACAAGAAGCAUAAGAAACCUAAGAAAGAAAGAGAGGUAGAAAAUGGAUCGUUGGAAGAGAAACCAUCACGGCCGAUUCAAAAGGACGUCGGUGUAAACGGGAAAGUAAAAAAUUCGUUAUUAGAAGUGGUUUCUACGGAAGAAAGCGAAGAUGAAAAAUUAAUAGAUUUAGAUUCGGACGAAGUGGACUGUACAAUUAUUGAAGAUGAUAUCGAUCUUGAAGAGUUAAUGAAACAAAAGGAGCGGUUGCAAGCGUGUUUAGUACAAUACCUCUCGGAUGAAUCUGAAAAGGAGGACAAAGAACCGGAACAAGAUGAAGUAAAAGCUACAGAAACGCCUGAUAUUAUACUUGUAGAAGACGAUAGCGAAAAUGACAAUAUACCCCCUAAAAAACGGGCCAGAAGUAAAUCUGGCAGUAGGGAACGCAAAAAAAUAACAAAACCUGAAAGACGCGUUGUAGUGGAUAUGAGCAGAGAUCGACGAAGUCGAGACGAACAUAAAGACAAACGAAGAGAUUCGGACAGGAGACGGGAAGAUAAAGUACGUACUAAAGAAGAAUUAAGAAGGGACGAUAACAGGAGAGAUGAGAGGCAAGCGCGAAAAACAAACGAUAGGCAUAGAGAAGAUCCCCGAAAAGAAGAUAAUAAAAGAAGAUCGGAAGAUGAUAAACGUAAAGAUUCUAUCAAAAGAGACGAGUCGCGUAAAAGAGAACAAGAUAGACGGGAAGAAGAUCGUCGACGUGAUGCAGAUCAUCAUAACAAUUCCAGACCCCGUAAUGAUUACAAAUCGCUAGAUAAAUCCGAUAAAGUUCCUGCAUCGAGACGUGAUAGUCGCGAUCGAUUAGGAAGCCGAGAACGACAAAGCAGUCGAGAUCGUCAUGCCAGUAAGGAUCGACCGGCUAGUCGCGAUCGUCGUAGCCGUGAUAGACCAUCGAGUAGAGACCGACAUAGCCGUGAUAAAAGAGACAGCAGAGAGCGUCACAAUAGCCGUGAUCGACACAGAGAUGGUCGAAGUAGUCGUGAUCGUAAUGAUAUACGAGAUCGCCGAGAUAGUAGAAAUCGCGAAAGGAUUCGUGAACGUUCAAGGAGUACAAGAAGAUCUCGAAGCCCUGUUAGAAGUAGAUUAGACAGAGAUCGUAACGAUCGGUAUAAAAGUUCGAGGUCGUUGUCUCGAAGUCGUAGGGACAGAGACAAACAUACCAGAGACCACGAUAGAGAUCGAGAAAAAAAUGGGAAAAGGGAACGCAGCGAUAAAUACAAAGAUUCAUUGUCGGAAGGGCUGAAAGUAGAACAUUCGGAAAGUUCAAGCGAGGAAGAUAUCAAAGAUAUCGAUAUUGAAGAAGAGGAAGACGAAGAAGCAAUUAUAGAACAUAGAAGGAAACAAAGAGAAGAACUUCUUAAAAGGUUAGGUGGACCAAACGAAGACUCAAAUAUGUCUGGUGAUAUAAACACCGUUCCCGCUACUCCGCCUUCGGAAAGCCAUUCAAACGUAUCGCAAAAAUCAAUAGAAAUCCCGUCUAAUAAUAAUGAAUCCACCUCGGAAAGUCAUACACCACCGCUGCCCGAGAAACCAAAGUCACCGCAACCAGUUAAAAAGAGAAAAUCUAGAUUUGAAGAUGCACCGCCGGAAGAUAUCGAGAAAAUUGAUGACAUCAAACCAACAGAAAAGAUCAAACAAGAGGAGAAGCAAAAUGCAAAAAAAUCAAACGAAUGGGAUAUGUUUGCAGAAGCGGAUAAUAUUGGCGAUUUUAAUAGUCCCACUGUCGAAGGUAAGCGACAAGGUGGGCCAGAUAAUCCAAGUUUAACGGAUAAUUGGGACGACGCCGAAGGAUAUUACCGGGUGCGAGUAGGCGAAACGUUAGACUCACGAUACGUCGUUUACGGAUACACAGGUCAAGGUGUAUUUAGUAACGUUGUAAGAGCUAGAGACAGUGCUAGAGGCAAUUUGGACGUUGCUGUAAAAAUAAUAAGGAACAAUGAAAUAAUGCAUAGAACGGGCCUUAAGGAAUUAGAAAUUCUUAGAAAACUGAAUGAUGCAGAUCCAGAAGACAGAUUUCAUUGUUUACGACUUUUUAGGCAUUUUUUUCACAAAAAUCAUUUAUGUAUGGUUUUUGAGCCUUUAGCUAUGAAUUUAAGAGAGGUUUUAAAAAAGUAUGGGAAAGACGUUGGUUUACACGUUAAAGCGGUAAGAUCGUAUACGCAGCAACUUUUCCUUGCUCUGAAGUUACUAAAACGUGCAAAUAUUCUGCAUGCUGACAUCAAACCGGAUAACAUUCUAGUCAGUGAAAGCAAGCUAGUAUUGAAACUGUGCGAUUUCGGUUCGGCGUCCCAUGCCCACGAGAAUGAAAUCACACCGUAUUUAGUAUCAAGAUUUUAUCGAGCACCCGAAAUUAUUCUUGGUAUACCGUAUGAUUUCGGCAUUGACAUGUGGUCCGUGGGAUGCACCAUAUACGAAUUGUACACGGGAAAAAUAAUGUUCUCGGGCAAAACAAACAACCAAAUGUUGAAAUUCUUCAUGGACCUAAAAGGCAAAAUGCCAAAUAAACUGAUUAGGAAAGGCACGUUCAAGGACCAACAUUUUGACACUAACUGCAAUUUCCUCUAUCAUGAAGUUGAUAAGGUCACAGAGCGGGAGAAAGUUGUAGUGAUGUCAACGUUACCUGCCACUCGUGACCUUACCGCCGAGUUAGGUGGAAACUCUUUGCCCCCGGAACAAAAUAGAAAAGUUGGACAACUGAAGGAUCUUUUGGAGCGAACGUUGAUGUUGGACGCGGGAAAGAGAAUCACUGUGAACCACGCCCUGGCACAUCCCUUUAUACAAGAAAAGAUCUAGGUAACCCUGUCGGGGGGGUCCUUCCACAUCGGAGAAUUCAUUAACGUAACUUUGCAAAAUGUUUGAAAUGACACCGCUAACGAUUCGUUCGUUGUAUACUAUAAAACAUACUAACAUAAGGCGGUGUGUCCUUAUAUUGACUGUGCCCUGUAUCCGUUUUAGCAGAAAGAGGCGGUGCAAAAUUUCACGUUUCACUCGCUCCGUCUAAGUAAUAACGGAAAUACAUUUGGAAAUAUACAAACAUACAAGGGAAACAAAUUAAUUGAAUCACACGCAUGACGUUGUACUCUAUCAAUCUGAACUGUAUUAUUUAACAAAUGAUAACUAUUGCAGGUCAAUAGAGUGCAAUAUUUUUAUAUUAAUUAUAACCAAUACGAACGAUGAAUAAACAUUGGAGUUCACCGAUGCAUUUACCAGCGCAUAAAACUGACAUAUUUGUACGGCUCGGAACAAUCAGCAAUAAGUAAUAAAUCAACGAUGACGCUAGAAGAAGAGGCACGCUGAAUUACGUGGUAAUCGUAAACUAUUCCGUGGACGAUAUGAACUGGGAAAAGUGACCGCCUCUUUCAGCACUGGCCAUCGAUACUUAGCAUAAUGGUGAUCAGUGUUCGAUUCAAAGCAUCGUUAUGCGCGAGUGGACCUUUGUGGGCUUUUAACGCCGAUCCCGUUGCAAGCCCUCCCUGUGAGGAGGGGAGGCAAUGGAAGAGAUGAUGAAAUCAGUUGAUGGAAAGCAAUGGUGAUGAAGGAAAGGAAAUUGGGUGAGAUCGUCGCAGCUGCUGCAGCGUGACAACUGUAUUGAAAUGAUGCCUAUCGCAGAAUGGAUCGCCGAAUAUUUAAUUAAAUUUUUAUCAGAAGGAAGGUUUCUCGUAGAAUUUCACAUUGAAAUAAAUAAGAUCGUAAGUAUGUGAACAGGUAAGGUACAUGUGCGUGAAAAUUUCAAAUUACUAUAUUAAAUUUGAAAAAUACUUGAGUGCUGCAUAUACAACAUAUGUAUACAGUCGAAAUCUAGGUAAUACCAAAGAUGACAUAAUACUAAUAUCUGUGGCCUUCAGUUUUCAGAUCACUAAAUGCCAAAAUCUUUGAAAAUAAUUCUAACACACUGAACGAGUUAAUAAACGCGAAAAGUACUGUAAAGCGAUAUGUAAAUCAAAAUGUGUAACACGGAAAUAAUGAUCAGAAUAAAUUACACAUGUGCAUAUUGGGAGAUAAAUAAGUUCAUUUCAUGUUAUAUUUUGUUACAGUAUCUUGUAUCUAGCAAUAAAAAGCAAAUUACAUUUACAGCCAUACAAUAUUCAACCCCGCUGUCGCUAUUUAACAUCGUUAUCAAUUUUUGUAUCACGAAUAUGUAAUUUGCAGUAAAUUUAGAUCUAUUUAUUAUACACCUCUUGGACAUAUUGUCACCUUUGUUUCAAACAUUUAUGUAAAAUAUAAGUACAUUCUUUAAACACGUGUAUUAUUUCAUUUUAUGAACCUUAAGUGCCUGGCGAAAUGCAACAAAAUUAUCGUGGUUUGCAUACUACAAUCAGAAGAACUACGAUUUAACGCAAGAAGAAAAGCUAACUUUUACGUACAUUAAACAAUUAAAUUAUUUUUAAGUAAUUCAGUUUGCGUUACCUUUUUCU